GAUGAACGCUAGCGGCAGGCUUAAUACAUGCAAGUCGAGGGGCAGCAGGACUGUAGCAAUACAGUUGCUGGCGACCGGCAAACGGGUGCGGAACACGUACGCAACCUUCCUUUAAGUGAGGGAUAGCCCAGGGCAACUUGGAUUAAUACCUCGAAAUAUUCGAGAGUGGCAUCACUCUUUAAUUAUAGCUCCGGCGCUUAAAGAUGGGCGUGCGACUGAUUAGGUAGUUGGCGGGGUAACGGCCCACCAAGCCUGCGAUCAGUAACUGGUGUGAGAGCACGACCAGUCACACGGGCACUGAGACACGGGCCCGACUCCUACGGGAGGCAGCAGUAAGGAAUAUUGGUCAAUGGACGCAAGUCUGAACCAGCCAUGCCGCGUGGAGGAUGAAGGUCCUCUGGAUUGUAAACUUCUUUUAUCUGGGAAGAAACCCAUAUUUUCUAGUGUGGUUGACGGUACCAGAUGAAUAAGCACCGGCUAACUCCGUGCCAGCAGCCGCCGUAAUAC
rnacentral:rRNA from 1 species